rnacentral:rRNA from 1 species
UACGAAGGGGGCUAGCGUUGCUCGGAAUUACUGGGCGUAAAGGGCGCGUAGGCGGAUAUCUAAGUCAGGGGUGAAAGCCCGGGGCUCAACCUCGGAAUUGCCUUUGAUACUGGAUAUCUUGAGUUCGGGAGAGGUGAGUGGAAUGCCGAGUGUAGAGGUGAGAUUCGUAGAUAUUCGGCGGAACACCAGUGGCGAAGGCGACUCACUGGCCCGAUACUGACGCUGAGGCGCGAAAGCGUGGGGAGCAAA